CCGCCAAAUCAAACCUCACGCACAUCACCAACACUGCCAAAGGUACCAAAUUUAUCACUGACUGCAACGUUAAGAUUUCAGAAAAUGGACGAAACGGCAAAGCAGCAGAAACAAUAUUCCACACAAUGUCCCAAAAGAACAUUGUCACUUGGACAGCCAUGCUCACAUUAUAUGCCCAAAAUGGUCAAAUCGGUAACGCACGCAAACUGUUCGAUGAAAUGCCUGAAAGAACACCUGCUUCUUAUAAUGCCAUGAUCUCUGCUUACAUUCGCAAUGGUUGUAAUGUUACCAAAGCUUAUGAGGUUUUUAACUCGUUUAAUGACCGAAAUGCGGUGUCCUAUGCUGCCAUGAUCAUGGGUUUUGCUAAGGCAAGGAAGUUCCACUUGGCUGAGAAACUUUACCUUGAAGCUCCAAUUGAAUUUCGUGACCUGGUUUGUUCCAAUGCUUUAAUAAAUGGGUAUUUGAAAAUGGGCGAAACAAAUGAAGCUUUGAGGGUUUUUGAGAAUGUGGGUGAGAGUGAGAGGGAUGUGGUUUCUUGGAGUGCAGUAGUUGGUGGUUUGUGUAGAGAUCAGAAGAUUGGUUAUGCUAGGAUAUUGUUUGAUAGAAUGCCGGAGAGAAAUGUGGUUUCUUGGAGUGCAAUGAUUGAUGGGUAUAUGGAGAAAGGUUUGUUUGAAAAUGGGUUUUGUGUGUUUUUGGAUAUGAGGAGGGAAGGGGUUGUUGAGGUUAAUUCAACUACCAUGACUAUAAUGGUUAAAGGGUGUGGAAAUUGUGGUGGUGUGAAAGAGGGAAUGCAGAUUCAUGGGUUGGUUUCAAGAUUGGGAUUUGAGUUUGGUAGUGUUUUGACUAAUACUAUCAUCACUAUGUAUUCCUUGUUUGGUUGCAUUGACAUGGCAAAGAAAGUGUUUUGUGCUAUGGGUAAUAAAGAUUUAGUUAGUUGGAAUUCUUUGAUUUCUGGAUAUAUUUAUAACAAUGAAGUUGAUGCAGCUUAUGGGGUUUUUGAGAGGAUGCCAGAGAAGGAUUUGAUUUCUUGGACGGCCAUGAUCACGGGGUUUGUUUGCAAAGGAAGGAAGAAUUGAAAGGCUAUUAAACUGUUUGAUAUGUUGAAAGAGAAAGAUGAUUUUGUAUGGACCGUUAUUAUAUCUGGCUUUGUUAGUAAUGAGGAGUACGAGGAAGCUUUGUGUUUGUAUGUUCGGAUGAACCGGGAAGGAUGCAGGCCUAAUCCUUUAACUAUUAGCAGUGUUCUUGCUGCUUCGGCUAAUUUGGUGGCACUGAAUGAAGGGCUUCAGAUUCAUUCCCAUGUUCUGAAGAUGAACCUGGAAUAUGAUCUUUCGAUACAAAAUGCUCUUAUAUCAUUCUAUGCGAAGUGUGGAAACGUAACUGAUGCCUACAAGAUCUUCAUAGACAUCGUUGAACCAAAUGUUGUCUCUUAUAACUCAGUCAUCAACGGCUUUGCACAAAAUGGCUAUGACAAAGAAGCUCUCAGUAUGUAUAAAAGAAUGCAGACCGAAGGCCAUGAACCUAACCACGUUACUUUCCUUGCUGUUCUUUCUGCCUGUACUCAUGCAGGACUGAUUGAAGAGGGACAUAAUUUAUUUAACACCAUGAAAUCUCGUUAUCAUAUUGAGCCAGAAGCUGAUCAUUAUGCCUGCAUGGUUGAUCUACUCGGUCGUGCUGGUUUCCUUGAUGAAGCUAUUGAUUUAAUCCAUUCAAUGACGUUAAAGCCACAUUCUGGGGUUUGGGGGGCUCUUCUCGCUGCAAGCAAGGCUCACCUACGCCUUGACCUUGCUAAGCUUGCUGCUCAACGUAUUACCGAGCUGGAGCCUGCAAAUGCAACACCUUAUGUAGUAAUAUCCAACAUGCAUUCUGCUGCUGGACAAUAGAUUGAGGGUGACUUAGUAAGAAAGACGAAGAAUUUAAAAGGAAUAAAAAAAAGUUCAGGCUGUAAGCUGGAUUACUAUUAAAGAUAAGGUUCAUCUGUUUCUUGCAGGGGAUCAACCACACAGAAAUGUUGAAGAGAUAAAAGCCAUAAUAUUGACUAUAGAUAAAGGGAUGCAGUGGUUGUAUUAUUGUGAGCACUGAUUUGAAGUCUCUUGGUUUUCUUUCUUAACAAUGCAACCUCUGUUGCAAAAGUGCUAUCACUGCCUGAGCAAGCAAGAUUCUUUUCGACGAGAUUCAUUUGAUUUUUCUUCAACUUCAAAAGAUAGCACCCAACAACCACACUUGUUAACACAAAGAAGUCAAAACAAAGGAAGACAUGUUGUUCUGUGUGAAGAAUAAAAGGUAGCCGAAGAAGAGUGAGCUAUUUGGAAUCUGAAUCUCAAGCAAAUUUAGAGGUAAUUUUCUUCAUUGCUGUGUUUCUAAUAUUGUUUUACUAAAUGGAUAAUGAUUUAUGUCUAAAACUAUUACUACUGAAUACUUGAGUAAUAUUAGGGAAAUGCUAACGAGUGCCACCAAGGUACCCUUUAAGGACCUUAAUUUAGAUGUAAUGAUUUAUGUUUUGAAAAUGCAUUGUGAAUUGAAAUGUUUAACUUUUUGUGUAAGAUAUAUCAUUUAAUAAGAGAUUGUUUACUUACAAAGUCAAGGCAUUAUAUAUAUCAUAUGCACUUAAUUAUUAUAUAACAAAAAGAAGAAGACAAAUAUUCUUUUAAUAAUAAUAAUACCCUACUUAAUCAUAAUAAAAAAAAUACAGUGCCCCACUCAAUAGUAAAAAUCAUCAACUUGUGCAGCCGGCCUAGCACCCACCACAACACAAAGUAGUAGUAGUAGUACUAAUAAUAAUAUAAAUAAAAAAAAGAAGGCGUGUUGUGCUGUGCUUGGUAGUGAAGAUCAAGUGAGUUAUUUGAAAUCUGAAUCUGAAGCAUAUUUAGAGGUAGUGUAAUUUCUUCAUUUUGCUGUGUUUCUAGUUUUAUUUUUUAUUUUUGAACCUAAAUAAAAUUAAAUGAACAAUGAUUUAUGUAUCUUUUUAAUUACGUCUCUGCAGAGCAAUCUUCAUAAUCACCUGUCUAUUGCAUUAAAUCCACUUGAGCACAAGACAAAUAUUGUCUAUGCUAUAUACUGCUAGCUCUUGACAUACUACUGCCUCAAGUUUUAAGGUAUCACUUUCUCAUCAAUAUGCAAACAAUAUAUUUCAAAAUCAAAUCUCUUGCUUUUUUAAAUUUCUUCUUAAAAUUCGUAAAAGUAAUUAUAAAUUUCUUAAAACUUUUUCACGUAUAUUAAAAAAAGUUGGUAGAGUAAUUAACGUAUUAUAAAAGCUCUUUGCCUGCGUUGUUUUCAUGAUGAGUCUGACAGAUUUCCAUCUGAUUUCCUCCAAAGAUUUAUCAAUCUUGAAAAUCUUAAGAUGUCUUGUAGUUCUUUCACGGAGAUUUUCUCCAGUGGAAGCUUUGGAAUUGGACAUUCUGGAACAAAGGUGAAGUUGAGAAAACUAGUACUUGUUGAAUUAAAAAACCUCGAGUUUAUAUGUAAAGAGAAAUAUGAUGUGCAAGUUCUUCAAAAUAUUGAAAUAUUGGGAAUUUAGAGCAGUUGAAGGUAAAGUCUUGUGCUGGAUUGGAAAAUAUUAUGAAAUCUUCAGUGGUCAAUAAUAUUCAAAAACUUAAAAUAUUAUGCAUAGAUUAUUGUGAAAAGAUAGAAGAAAUAAUUGCAAGCGAUGAUGAGAAUGAUGAUUUUGAACUAGCAUUUAUGAAAUUGGAGCAUUUGCAAUUGAUUAACUUACCAAGGCUAAGAAGUUUUUGCAAGGGAAGACAUAGCUUCAAAUUUCCACUACUGAAGACGUUAUCUGUAAUAGAUUGUCCCAUGAUGGAAACUUUCUCACAUGGAGUGUUGUAUGCACCAAAGCUCAGAACUGUACGUGUAAAUGCAGAAGGUGAAUGGCAUUGGAAUGGUGACAUUAAUUCUACUCUAAGAAAAAUUGUAGCGAAAAAAGAACUCUAAGGGUGAUUGUGUUUUUCCUCAAUAUUUGGAAGAAAUCUCAUGUAGAUAAUUCGUGGCAACCACUGGUAAUUCAAAAUCAGCACAUUCUUAUUUAAUUAUUUAAAAUAUUUCGUGUAUAGGUGCUGAAUGUUUGAUUUACUGUGUAAGUGUAAUUAUGUAUGAUAUCAAAUUAUUGAGAUUGAAUUGGUGGAAUUUAAUGGCACGCUACUUCAAGAAUGCUUGUUAAGAAUAUUUUUUUAAAAAGAAGCUAAAAUGAUGGCAAAAUCGUAAAAUCCAUUAAGUAAUUUUUUAAUUUCCUUUUAGUUUUUUAAGUAAGAAUUUCGUUUUUUCAUAAAACAACUCGACAAAGUUAUUAAAAUGGGGACGCGUGGGUUUGCUUUGUUGAAACGGGGUGUGCACUUUUUUUUCUUUUUUUGACUAAAUAAAAAAGGGGUGUGCACUUUGUUGAAAGUAAUAAUCUCUUUUUCACAAAACAACUCGUCAAAAGAACCUGGUGUGCACUUAUUACAAAGAAAGAUGCUUGAAACAAUAAUACAAAUCCUUGAAAUAUAGACUAAUAAACAAAUGAAAGAUUCUUGAAGUUUCCCAUAAAAUGUAAAUCCCUAACUAUGAAUAUUUAACAUGUGAAAAGGUGCCAAUAAAUCAACUCUUUACUAUCUUGUUUAUUACAUCUCACUGAUUCCAUUCCAGUUAGAUUGAAAUGGCUAGUAGCAGCAACUCCUCUGCUUUAGCUACAUUGCCAAAGAAGAGGAAGAAUUAUUAUGAUGUGUUUGUCACCUUCCGAGGUGAAGACACUCGCAACAAUAUCACUGAUUUUCUUUUUAAUGCCCUUGAAGAGAAAGGCGUUUUAGUAUUUAGGGAUGACACUAAUCUUCCAAAAGGUGAAUCCAUUGGACCCGAACUCUUUCGUGCAAUUGAAGACUCUCAGAUUUUCGUUGUCAUAUUCUCAAAGAACUAUGCUUCCUCAACUUGGUGUUUGCAAGAAUUGGAAAAGAUAUGUGAAUGCGUUCAAGUUUCUCGAAAACAUAUUUUGCCUGUUUUCUAUGAUGUUGAUCCUUCUGAGGUGCGAAAGCAAAGUGGGAUUUUUGCUGAAGCCUUUGUCAAACAUGAACAAAGAUUCCAACAAGACUAUGAUAUGGUGCAAAGAUGGAGGAAAGCUCUCACACAAGUGGGAACAAUCGCUGGUUGGGAUAUCCGUCAGAAGCCACAAUAUGCACAAAUUAAAGAGAUUGUUGAAAGAAUAAUAAAUAUUCUGGAUUGCAAAUCUUCAUGUGAUGAUGUUCAUGCUCAAGUGACAGCCACGCCAUUUGGCAGAGGUUAUGAGGCCUUGGAAUCCAGAACAUCAAUGUUGACUAAGAUGAUCACGGAAUUGAAGAAUCCUAACAACUUCAUUAUUGCGGUGUAUGGGAUGGGUGGUGUGGGUAAGACAAAACUUGUGGAACAGUUAGCUUGGCAAGCAAAGAAAGAUAGGUUAUUCAGUGUUGUAGCUAUUUCUACUAUAACUGAUUCUCCAGAUUUGGAAAAAAUUCAAGGCAAAAUUACUGAAGAUUUGGAUAUGAAAUUUAAUAAGAAGACAAAAGAAGGAAGAGCAAUGCAAUUACGUCAAAGGAUAUGCAGUGAGAAGAGUAUUCUCGUUAUUCUUGAUGACAUUUGGGGUAAACUUGAUUUGACGGAAGUGGGGAUUCCUUUUGGUGAUGAUCACAAAGGAUGCAAGUUGGUGGUGACAUCCAGAGAUCGUAACGUAUUGAACUCUGAGAUGGACAUUCAGAAAGAAUUCAGACUUGAAGUUUUACAUGAUGAGGAUAGUUGGAAAUUGUUUGAGAAAAUGGCAGGUGAAGUUGUUAAAGAUUUCAAUAUAAAACCAAUUGCAGUAGAAGUGGCCAAACUUUGUGCUGGGUUGCCCCUUUUGAUAGUUACAGUGGCAAAGGCUUUGAGGAAAAAGCAUGUCUCUGAUUGGAAGGAUGCCUUAAAUGAAUUAAAGAGAUUUGAUCAAGAAGGGUUGCAUAAUAAAGUUUACUCUACUCUGGAAUUGAGUUAUAAUUUUUUAGAGAGUGAGGAACUGAAGUUGCUAUUCUUAUUAAUCGGUUCCUUUGGACUAGAUUUCCAAUACACUGGAAAACUGUUUUCAUUUUAUUGGGGGUUAGGCUUAUAUAGACACUCGCACGCAUUGACAGAUGCAAAAACCAGAUACUACAAAUUAAUAAACGACCUCAAGGCCUCUUCGUUGUUACUUGAGUCUGAAGCUGACCGGGUUAGAAUUCAUGAUGUUGUUAGAGAUGUGGCUAAAUCAAUUGCAUGUAGGACUCGCCCAACCUUUGGGGUGAAAAGGUACACUUUGAUAAAAAAAUGGCCAGAGAUAGAUCAACUUCAAAAAUGCCAUCAGAUCAUCCUGCCUUGGUCUUAUAUUCACAAGCUUCCUGAGAAGCUGGAGUGCCCAGAGUUGAAGCUACUUCUACUGAGUAAUAUCGGUGACUUUUUGAAAGUCCCCGAUGACUUCUUCUCUGAGAUGAGAGAGCUAAAGGUCCUUGAUUUAUAUGGAAUGAAUUUUACCCCUUCUCCACCACCAUCACUUAGUCUCUUGACAAAACUCAAAACAUUGAAUCUUCCUGGAUGUGUGUUCGAAGAGAUAUCAAUAGUUGCAGAGCUGAAAAGUUUAGAGAUUCUCAGGCUUGAAAGAUCUCAUAUUAAAGAGCUCCCAAAAGAAAUAGGACAGCUAACUAAUCUUCGAAUACUGAAUUUAACCAAUUGCACUGGACUGAGAUUCAUUCCUGCAAAUCUUAUUUCAAGUUUAACAUGCUUGGAAGAGUUGUACAUGGGGAAUUGCUUUAUCCAAUGGGAUGUCAAGGGAAGCAAAAGCAACAAUGCAAGUCUCGAAGAGCUAAGGGAUUCGUCUCAUCUAACUGCUUUAGACAUAAUGAUUCAAGAUGCUUCAGUUUGUCCAUGGGACUUGCAGGUCUUUGAAAAGCUUGAAAGAUACAAUAUAUAUAUUGGUGAUAAGUGGAAAUGGUAUUUGGAUUGGUCUGGAAAUGCUUCUGAAUCUUCAAGAAUACUUAAGCUAGAAGACAGUAGGAGUUCAAACAUUCUUUUCGAUAGCGGGUUUAACUUCUUGCUGAAUUCUGCUGAGGAGAUGUGCCUUGCCAAAAUACAAUGUGUUAGAAAUGUCUUUUAUGAACUAAACAAGGUUGGGAUGCCCCACCUUGAACUAUUGAAGUUGUCCAAGAUCAAUUCUAGGAAACUCUGGGAUGACAAAAUUCCGGGUCUUUCUUGCAUGCAAAACCUGAGGAGUUUGACAAUUGACAAAUGUGGUAACAUAGCAUACGCAUUCUCAUUCUCAGUGGCUAGAGAAUUUCUAAACCUGAAGCAUCUUGCAAUUAGUAAUUGCCAAAUGAUGGAGGAAAUAUUUGUCUCGGAUGGAAACUUGGGUAGUCUUCCUUUAUCUCAGAAUCAAUUCUCUAAUAAUGAGGUUAUAUUUCCAAACUUGGAGACAUUGGUAAUCUCCCACAUGGAACACUUGAAAUUAGUAUGGUACAACCAACUAGCUCCAAAUUCCUUUGGCAAAUUGAAGGAGUUGAAAAUUGAAUUCUGCAAUGAAAUUUCAAAUUUAAUUCCAUCUUAUGUGCUUAAUAGAUUACAGAAUCUGGAGAAAGUGACUGUAACUAAUUGUCCUACACUAGAAAUUGUAUUUGAAACACAAGGUCUAAAAGCAGAUAGUGGUAGACAAACAAGACUGGAAAUGCAAUUGAAAAGUCUCACUUUGAAACAUUUACUGAUGCUGAAACACAUAUGGAGUGGGAAUCCUAAUGAAAGCUUCAAGUUUCAAAAUCUCAGCCUUUUGCAUGUUACUGAAUGCAAAAGCCUCAAUCAUAUUAUUCCCCUUUCUGUGGCUAAAGAGAUUCAACAUCUCCAAGAACUUUAUAUAGAAAAAUGUGGCAUUGAGAAUAUUGUAGCACAAGAUGAAAUGGCUGACAGAGUUCCAAUAUUUAUUUUCCCAGAAUUAACAUCUUUGAGUUUACGAGGUUUAACACAACUUCGAAGCUUCUACAGUGGAUUACAUACUUCGGAUUUCCCUGUUUUAAAACAUGUGGAUGUUCUUCAUUGCGACAAGCUUGCACUGUUCAAGCCAAAGUCUCAAAAUUGCCAAGAUAAUGUCCCAGUUGAUACACUCCCCCUUCUCUCAAUUGAAAAGGUUGUCCCCAACACAAGCGAGCUUAUUCUUAAUAGCAAGGACGUCACCAUGUUAUGUAAUGGCCAACUUAAUGAUGAGCUUAUCUACAAAGUUACAGAUCUUCUCCUGCGAUGUUUUCAUGACGAGUCUGACAAAUUUCCAUCUGGUUUCCUCCAAAGGUUUGUCAAUCUCAAAAAGCUUAAGGUGACAUGUAGUUCCUUCAGAAAUAUUUUGAGUGGAAGUGAAUGCGAUGGACAUUCUGAAACAAUUAUGAAGUUGAGAAUUUUAGUACUCGUUGAGUUAAACGAUCUCGAGUUUAUAUGUGAAGAGAAUUCUGAGGUGCUACCAAUUCUUCAAAAUAUUGAAACUUUGUCUGUACAUAGAUGUUCUAGACUGAAUAAUGUAAUUCCAUCCUCAGUGCUGUUUGAAAAUUUAGACCAGUUACUGGUGUUCAAUUGUGCUGGAUUGAAAAAUAUUUUGAAAUCAUCAACAACUGUCGGUUUACAAAAACUUAGAAAAUUAUGCAUAGAUGGGUGUGAAAAGAUAGAAGAAGUAGUUGCAAGUGAUGAUGACAGUGAUGCUUCUGAGCUAGCUUUUAUGAAAUUGGAGUAUUUAUGGUUGAAUAAGCUACCAUGCCUUAAAAGUUUCUGCAGGGGAAGACAUGGCUUCAAAUUUCCACUACUGAAGUCGUUAUUUGUAAUAGAUUGUCCAAUGAUGGAAACUUUCUCACAUGGAGUGUUGGACGCAGCAAAGCUUACAAAAGUACGAGUAACACCGCAAUAUGAAUUUGAAUGGAAUGGUGACCUUAACACUACUAUAAAAAAAAUGAGUAGCGUAAACGGUAAUGUACACCAAAUCAAUUAACAUCAAUCAUGAUUCAAAUGUUAUGGCUUGCAUUCUCACAUUGUUGCUUUCUUCUUGUUUAUGAAUAUCCAGAACUCUAAGGAUGAUUGUGUUUGUCCUCAAAAUUUGAAUGAAGGCUCAGGUAGAUAAUUCGUCGCAACCACUUGGUUGUAUCUACAUGUUUUGGUUCGGAGGCUAAUCAGCUAAUCCCUAAUGGAACAAAGUGUUUACAACCAUCAUGACGUAUUGGUUUAAUGACUUUUCUAUGAUAAUGACUUCUGUAUAUUGUUUUUCUGUUGUUUGCAAAACUAAUCUCUACUGAACUUUCAGUACUCAGUUAAUAUAGGUGCUGAAUGUUUGAUUUAGUGUGUAUGUGCAAUUAUGCAUGAGAUUAAUUAAUAAUUAUUGAGAUUGAAUUGGUGGAAUUUAAUUGCAUGCUACUUCAGAAGUUUUGUGCAUUUUGAUCAUUGCACAGCA